rnacentral:rRNA from 1 species
UACGGGGGGGGCAAGCGUUGUUCGGAAUUACUGGGCGUAAAGGGCUCGUAGGCGGCCCACUAAGUCAGACGUGAAAUCCCUCGGCUUAACCGGGGAACUGCGUCUGAUACUGGAGGGCUUGAGUUUGGGAGAGGGAUGCGGAAUUCCAGGUGUAGCGGUGAAAUGCGUAGAUAUCUGGAGGAACACCGGUGGCGAAGGCGGCAUCCUGGACCAACACUGACGCUGAGGAGCGAAAGCCAGGGGAGCAAACGGG